AACGAACGCUGGCGGCAUGCCUAACACAUGCAAGUCGAACGAAGCCUUCGGGCUUAGUGGCGCACGGGUGCGUAACGCGUGGGAAUCUACCCUGGGGUUCGGAAUAACACAGAGAAAUUUGUGCUAAUACCGGAUGAUAUCGAGAGAUCAAAGAUUUAUCGCCCUUGGAUGAGCCCGCGUAGGAUUAGCUUGUUGGUGGGGUAAUGGCCUACCAAGGCGACGAUCCUUAGCUGGUCUGAGAGGAUGAUCAGCCACACUGGGACUGAGACACGGCCCAGACUCCUACGGGAGGCAGCAGUGGGGAAUAAUGGACAAUGGGCGAAAGCCUGAUCCAGCAAUGCCGCGUGAGUGAUGAAGGCCUUAGGGUUGUAAAGCUCUUUUACCAGGGAUGAUAAUGACAGUACCUGGAGAAUAAGCUCCGGCUAACUCCGUGCCAGCCGCCGCAGUAACAC
rnacentral:rRNA from 1 species